UUUCUUUAGCAUUUUUGUUGAACUUUUCUGAUCUUGUCUGAACUUGGAAGAUAAGGAUGGUCUUCCCUGGUUCGUGCCUGGAUAGGAGACUGCAUGGAAGUACCAGGUACUGGAAAUAA
rnacentral:rRNA from 1 species